CGCCCGCUACUCCGCUGCCUGCACCCACCGCCGGCCGCGCCGCCACCCGCCCCCGCGCUGCACCCUCCCCCCCCCUUCUCCACCAGAUCCACACCCCACCACCUCCCUCGCCGAGCAUGAGCUCCCCCGAGCAGGCCCUCCGACCGGCCGCCGCCCCUCGCUGUCUGCUAGGGUUGAGGUUGUCAGCCUUCUCCGCCGCGCCACCUUCCCUCCACCGGCAGAUCCGGUUCGGCUCCUCGGACGGCAAGGUGCUUGGCGAGGAGAAGGACGCCCGGAAGUUGACCCAGAUCCGGUUCGGCUCCUCCGGUGGCAAGGUGCUCAGCUCCAGCGGCAAAGCGGCAAGGUGUUCUCUGUACACGGUUUUGGUUCAGUUUGCAUCUUCAGUACAUACACAUGGUCGGUUCAGUUUGCAUCCGUCCAUUACAGUAGUUUUGCAGUUUUAUUUGAUGCAAUUUUGAUGGACACAGCAACAAGUUUAUGAGAUACAGUGUGUUCUUCCUUGCAAAGAGCUUUGAUGAUUAAAGAAACAAUUUUGCUCAAUGUUUGACUAUACACACUAUACUGCUAGUAGAAACUAAUAAGCCAAAUAAUGUGCAAGGUGCUCUGUUGGCAAGUUGCCCCUGCUGAUCUCCUCCUCCUCUGCAAGGUGCUCUGGCAGCAAGGUGCCUCUGCUGGUCCCCUCCUCGUCUGCAACAACAACAGCAGCAACCAGGACAUGCAUUAGUUUGAAGACGGGACCGUCGUUGCAGGGCUUCUUGUUGGAGGGACAACCGGCACCGAGCCACUCAAUGCAUUUAUGGGAUUAUGUUUCUCCCGCUUGUUAAAGAAACCGGAAGGGGGUGGGUCAACGAAGGUGCUGGCUUGAGGAUUGAUGUAUACGGUGGGAAGUUCAAACAGCAUAACGGGCCCGACUCUGAUCCGGCCUCACAGGACAUUGAUGCUACGAUUUCCGUCUAGUCGGGACAAGGCAAGAAGGGUGGCCGGUUAUACGUUGGUGACGGCGCCAUCCGGAAGAAGGACAUUCCGAAUCUCUCCCACCUCCGUGCUACCACGUCGAGUUCAGGUCCUGCUAUAGAGCGUUGCCCACAGCCUGGGCUGCACAUGCUCCAUCAAUUCGAGGGCCGCCUAGAGGAAGAAACCAGGUUGCGGUAGGAGGCUUAUGCCAAUGCCGCGCUUAAACAGGAGCAAGCCAUGAAAAUGCAGCAAGCCCUAUUUCAACAACAGGAAUGAUCACUUGAGGUUUGCAUCGUAGAUGCCGUUGGUAGUGGGCAUACAUGCUGCGGUGGAGCUCAUUGCAUCUUUUAGGUUCAUGCCUGGUGUCAACUUGGAACUCACGGCCACGGUCCUUUCAUUUGUGAACUCUGGAUGCCUAUGUAUGUAUGUUGUUGUGAACCUUCGUUGGAUAUGUAUGCAUGUGCGGACUUGGAACUCACUCACGGUCCAUUCGUUUGUGAACUUGUGUUGCGUAUGUAUGCAUGUGCGGACUUUGAACUCAGGGCCGGGAUUCGUUGUUAUAUUGUUGUUGUGAACCUUCGUUGGAUAUAUAUUGCUGGAUAUAUUUUGGUUGAUCAUGUA